GAUUUGUCUGGUUUAUUCCGAUAACGAACGAGACUCUAGCCUACUAAAUAGACACUGCUUCUUUGGAGCGGUGAACUUCUUAGAGGGACAAGCGACGUUUAGUCGCACGAGAUUGAGCAAUAACAGGUCUGUGAUGCCCUUAGAUGUCCGGGGCUGCACGCGCGCUACACUGAAGGCAUCAUCAUGUUUCUUUUCCUACCCCGGAAGGGGCGGGUAACCCGAUGAAACGCCUUCGUGAUUGGGAUAGGGACUUGCAAUUAUUUCCCUUGAACGAGGAAUUCCUAGUAAGUGCGAGUCAUCAGCUCGCGCUGAUUACGUCCCUGCCCUUUGUA
rnacentral:rRNA from 1 species